UGAACGCUGGCGGCGUGCCUAAUACAUGCAAGUCGAGCGGACGGACGAGAAGCUUGCUUCUCUGAUGUUAGCGGCGGACGGGUGAGUAACACGUGGAUAACCUACCUAUAAGACUGGGAUAACUUCGGGAAACCGGAGCUAAUACCGGAUAAUAUUUUGAACCGCAUGGUUCAAAAGUGAAAGACGGUCUUGCUGUCACUUAUAGAUGGAUCCGCGCUGCAUUAGCUAGUUGGUAAGGUAACGGCUUACCAAGGCAACGAUGCAUAGCCGACCUGAGAGGGUGAUCGGCCACACUGGAACUGAGACACGGUCCAGACUCCUACGGGAGGCAGCAGUAGGGAAUCUUCCGCAAUGGGCGAAAGCCUGACGGAGCAACGCCGCGUGAGUGAUGAAGGUCUUCGGAUCGUAAAACUCUGUUAUUAGGGAAGAACAUAUGUGUAAGUAACUGUGCACAUCUUGACGGUACCUAAUCAGAAAGCCACGGCUAACUACGUG
rnacentral:rRNA from 1 species